GAGGGAAGGGCUUUCCUGGGCCCGGGCGUGAGGCGCGUGCGGCGCUGAGGAGCCGCAGCCCGGCUGCGUCGCGCCCCUGCCCUGCAGGGAGUGGCUUUCAAGUUUCCUCACCGCUUUGCCGCACUUCCUCUUCCAGGCUCUCAUUUGAAGUGGUGUUUUGGUGGCUUGAGAGCCGCGGUGUCGUUAGAGCGGCAGGGCCGAAGCCGGGCGGGCUGCCUGCGGUGGCAGGUGAGGUGUGAAGGGUUGGGCUGCGGCACGGAGCGCGUGGAGCAAAAGGAGGAGAGAACACGGGAUGACAGCGUGCCCCGAGUUGGAAGGGAGCCGUGCGGGUCGUGGGUUCCAACUCCCGGCUCCGCACGAGACCCUCCAGAAACCAGGCCGUGUAUCUGAGUGUCGUACGGAUGGUUCUUAGCUCGGCUCAGAGCCAUGAGCACGAGGGAGCUGUUCCACGCCCACCGCCCUCUGCUGCAGAGCCUUUUCCUGAUACCCAGCCUGAACGUCUUCUGCCCAAAGCACACUUUUGUCAUCGUUUUCUAACUCAUCCUGGUGGGUGCCAGGGUGCUGCUGAGGGCUGUGACCGACCGUCACGAGGCUGCAGACAUCUCUGGAAAGCCAGGUCCCGCCUGCGUGGUGUCCAGAUUCUUCCCUGAAGGUUUCACUUCAUACUCACAAGUGCAAAAUACGUGGUACCACUCCUGGUAUUGCUGCUACAGCGGGGGUUCCUUCAGCAGAACAGAAUCCCGAUGCAACUGAGGAGGCUUUAUCACUGUAUUCUACAGUCAGUGGAAUUGAGGAGGGGAUGAAAACCAGUUACUGUUGGCCAGCAUUUUGCAGUGUUCUGUGUCAGUCUUUUUUUUUUCUUCUUCAUUUUUCAUCUCUUGAGUAGCUGAAAACACAGCACCAUACCUCCUGAGCCUGUAGUGGGGAACUGCUUCAGCACAGAGCAGUGGGUGACAAGGUGUGCUACCAAACCAGAGCCUCCUGCUGCUGGCUUCUUUUGAAUUCUUCCAUUCAGGAAAUCUGCUCUGCCUGAAGCUGCUUCAUUUUUUGGCAUGCGGCAUGAUGAAGUUG
rnacentral:lncRNA from 1 species